GCCGGGUGGGUGACUGAUAGCAAAGCUGUGUUUCCUGGGGAAAAGUGUGGCAUCUUCAGUUUACAUCAACUUGCUCUCAUCUGAGACAAAACUCUGUGUGUCCCUGCUGCGAUGGAUGCCAGAUAGAGCCUGCUUGCCUAGGAUGGGGACAGAUGCCAUUGGAAACAGGUCAGAUUGCAAGACCAUCACGAUGACUUCACGUCAGUGCCAGCAUAUGCAGCCGUGGAAUACAGUGAGCGCUCUCUGCGGCUGACAGCAAUAGCGGUGAUCUAAUUUACCCGGCGACUGGAAGAAACUCUUUGUACAGGCUCUGGGUCCCUUUGGAUUAGUGACUUCAAGGUCAACUGGAGGAGAAAGGAAGCAGGGCUGAGGGUCACCCUCUCCUGUCUCAUUUGCAUGCUCUUGAAUAUAUGAUUUUAAGAAACAUGCGUUUUUGAUCUGCAAUGUAAAAAUUCCUCAAUGAUUUUUUGUACAGAUGUGCAGAAUACAGGAAUGAAAUAAAAUAUUGAGAAUU
rnacentral:lncRNA from 1 species